rnacentral:tRNA from 1 species
GGGCAGGGAGAGAAAGCGGAUCGCCCGCGAACACUGGCGAUCCGGCUCGCACCUCCCCCGAUCCCGCCUGCCUUACAAGCAGGAGGUCCCCGGUUCGAUCCCGGGACCGCCCA